CCUACGGGAGGCAGCAGUGAGGAAUAUUGGUCAAUGGGCUUACGCCUGAACCAGCCAAGUCGCGUGAGGGAAGACUGCCCUAUGGGUUGUAAACCUCUUUUGUCAGGGAGCAAUUGGCGCUACGUGUAGCGUUAUCGAGAGUACCUGAAGAAAAAGCAUCGGCUAACUCCGUGCCAGCAGCCGCGGUAAUACGGAGGAUGCGAGCGUUAUCCGGAUUUAUUGGGUUUAAAGGGUGCGUAGGCGGAAUGCCAAGUCAGCGGGAAAAUCGCGGGGCUCAACCUCGCUACGCCGUUGAAACUGGCGUUCUUGAGUGGGCGAGAAGUAUGCGGAAUGCGUGGUGUAGCGGUGAAAUGCAUAGAUAUCACGCAGAACUCCGAUUGCGAAGGCAGCAUACCGGCGCCCAACUGACGCUGAAGCACGAAAGCGUGGGUAUCGAACAGGAUUAGAUACCCUAGUAGUC
rnacentral:rRNA from 1 species